AUUGAACGCUGGCGGCAGGCUUAACACAUGCAAGUCGAGCGGGGGAAGGUAGCUUGCUACUGGACCUAGCGGCGGACGGGUGAGUAAUGCUUAGGAAUCUGCCUAUUAGUGGGGGACAACAUCUCGAAAGGGACGCUAAUACCGCAUACGUCCUACGGGAGAAAGCAGGGGAUCUUCGGACCUUGCGCUAAUAGAUGAGCCUAAGUCGGAUUAGCUAGUUGGUGGGGUAAAGGCCUACCAAGGCGACGAUCUGUAGCGGGUCUGAGAGGAUGAUCCGACACACUGGGACUGAGACACGGCCCAGACUCCUACGGGAGGCAGCAGUGGGGAAUAUUGGACAAUGGGGGGAACCCUGAUCCAGCCAUGCCGCGUGUGUGAAGAAGGCCUUAUGGUUGUAAAGCACUUUAAGCGAGGAGGAGGCUACUUUAGUUAAUACCUAGAGAUAGUGGACGUUACUCGCAGAAUAAGCACCGGCUAACUCUGUGCCAGCCGCCGCAGUAA
rnacentral:rRNA from 1 species